rnacentral:lncRNA from 10 species
GUGAAUCACUGAAUUUUUGUGGGCUGCAUUUUCAUUUAUGAUGGGUUGGAUUACAUCAGUCGUUUUCAAACUUUUAAAAAGAAAUUCCAGACCCAGAUGAUUUUAUUAGUGAAUUCCAUCAAAUGUUUAAAGAAGAACAAAUACCCAUUCUAUGCAAUAUUGUCUAGAAAAUGGAAGCAGAGGAAACACUUCUCAAUUCAUUUUAUGAAGUUAGUAUUAACCUUAUACCCAAACCAGAUAUGACAAGAAAAUAAAACUACAGACCAAUACCUUUAAAAUCCCAUGAUCAUAUCAAUAGAUAUAGAAAAGGUACUUGACAAAAUUCCACACCCGUUCAUAGGAAAAACUCAGAAAUAUAAGAAUAGAGGAGAACUUCUUUAACUUGAUACACAAUCUACAAAAACUUAUAGCUAACAUACUUAAUGGUGAAAAACUGAAUUCUUUCCUCCUGAGAUCAGGAGCAAAGCAAGCUGUCUGCUCUCACCAAUCUUAUUCAACAUAGUGCUAGAAUUUCUAGCUAGUGCAAUUAAGGCAAGAAAAGGAAAUAAAAUGCAUACAGGUUAGAAAGGAAGAAAUCGAACUGCAUCACUUUGCAGAUGACAUGGUUGUCUGCAUAGAAAAUCCCAAAGCAUCUUACAAAUAAGCUCCCAGAAUUAAGUCACCAUCAAUGCAGG